AGGACGAACGCUGGCGGCGUGCUUAACACAUGCAAGUCGAACGGUGACCCAGGGCUUGCCCUGGUGAUCAGUGGCGAACGGGUGAGUAACACGUGGGCAACCUGCCCCAGACUCUGGGAUAACUCCGGGAAACCGGGGCUAAUACCGGAUACGACUCGAGUGGGCAUCUACUUGAGUGGAAAGUUUUUCGGUCUGGGAUGGGCCCGCGGCCUAUCAGGUUGUUGGUAGGGUAAUGGCCUACCAAGCCUAUGACGGGUAGCUGGUCUGAGAGGAUGACCAGCCAGAUCGGGACUGAGACACGGCCCGAACUCCUACGGGAGGCAGCAGCUGGGAAUAUUGCGCAAUGGACGAAAGUCUGACGCAGCGACGCCGCGUGGAGGAUGAAGGCUCUCGGGUUGUAACUCUUUGCGGAGAGUAAUUUUGAAGUAUCUCGCGAAUAAGCACCGGCUAACUCCGCGCCAGCAGCCGC
rnacentral:rRNA from 1 species